rnacentral:rRNA from 1 species
GAUGAACGCUGGCGGCGCGCCUAACACAUGCAAGUCGAACGAUUAAAGUACCUUCGGGUGUGUAUAAAGUGGCGAACGGCUGAGUAACACGUGGGCAACCUGCCCCUUUCAUUGGGAUAGCCACGGGAAACCGUGGAUAAUACCGAAUACUUCGAGACUUCCGCAUGGAAGACUCGAGAAAGCUCCGGCGGAGAGGGAUGGGCCCGCGGCCUGUUAGCUUGUUGGUGGGGUAACGGCCUACCAAGGCAAUGAUGGGUAGCUGGGUUGAGAGACCGACCAGCCAGAUUGGGACUGAGACACGGCCCAGACUCCUACGGGAGGCAGCAGUGGGGAAUCUUGCACAAUGGGCGAAAGCCUGAUGCAGCGACGCCGCGUGCGGGAUGAAGGCCUUCGGGUUGUAAACCGCUUUCAGCAGGGACGAGGCGAAAGUGACGGUACCUGCAGAAGAAGCCCCGGCUAACUACGUG